rnacentral:lncRNA from 1 species
GCUCAUGGUUCAAGGUGUAGGUACAAAGAUGAGGAGACUUUGCUGCAAUGCCCUUCAACUUUGGGUCAAGCUUGGAUUUCUGCAAUGAUGACUGGGUCAAGGUAGACUUUCACUUCAAGAUUGACCUUCGCUUGAACCUCAAAAGCUGAUUUAUCUUCUUCAACCUUUUUUAUGCAUCCAAGUUGUGCAAAAGCAACAUAUUUAAUGCUUCAAUACUGCCUUCAUCCAGGUUGAAAAUACCCCUUUGUGAAUUUUGCCUAUGGGACUGGGACCAUAAACCAAAGCACAAGUUACGUUAACUGCCGAAGCAGUCGAUUAAAUUCCUAAUUUUAAACACUACAUAAGGGAACAAGAAAUUCACCUAGAAGGGAACUCUGCCAUUUCCUUGGGGAGACUAAAUCUCUGACUUUCAACAACCCAUUGUAAAUAAUCAUCCUGGAAUAUGAGAAAGCAAGAAAAAACAUUCAGCCAAAAAACUGCAACACCAACACCACAACUAGUUUGGAUGUAGUGGUGGAAAGAAAAGCAUCAGUCAUUUGUUGACCUUGCCCUAAGAUAAUGCCAAGAACUUGUCUUUCUGCUUCACCGGGCUCAAUUGCAUGAGCAGCCAAUGCACUUAAUGCAGCCUGACAACUCAAAUAGUUUGAAACAGUAUUUAUGUUCAGCGGUGGACUAUAACAAGAAUGAAAAAACAAAAAAGAAAAAAGCAAUAAACUGGCAUGUGCAAAAUGCCACCUACUAUGGGAGUUCAAGAGAUCUGCAUAAGGUGCAACUGCAGUGUGAAGGCUGCAAAAGGCCACAUUCCAUCAUCCUUUCUUCGAUUUGCAUUUUUCGAUAUGUAAAUACAGAUCAAAGCAUCUUACAAAUACAGGAGGCCAUGAUCAAAAGACAUAAAAGCAGCAAAUAAAGGAAACAAAGGAACUCUUACCAAUCAAUCCAGACUUUGCAGUAGAUUCUCUAACGAAAAAGCCCUCACUGGACUUUUCAAUAGGGAAAGAGUAUACAAGGACCAAUGGACCCAGAGGAUGAAGAAAGUAUUCCAGCAAAGAGACUCUCACUGGAUUCUUCAACUGGGAACAAUGUUCAGGAAGAAGGAAACAGGUACCAAGUGAUACAGACAGCGAAGAAAGCAGUUCAACGAUGAUGCAUUCAGAAGGCUCUUCAACAGGGCAGAGUGCACAAGAAGCAGAAAAACUGAAACCAAUGGACUUGGAUUCUACAGAAGGCACUCCAUAUACAGCAGGCUCUUCAUUUUCAUUUUAUGCAGUAGUUUUAGAUUCAUAUGAUGCCAUAUUAGGAUUUGAAUCCAGGUCCCUGUACGUUUUUCCAUUGGUUGUCAAACUUGGGUUCUACCUUAGGUACUACCUUAACUGACCUUAGGUACUACCUAAGUAAAACUUGGGUUCUACCUAUCUGAAGUCUCCGAACUUCAUUUGUGGAUAUUACUUACUUCAUUUAGCAAGAAAGAUAAAUAUUCUAUGUGGAAAAAUUUAUGAGAAAAAUGAGAUAGAAAUGUGAGGAGAGACACUUGAUGAAAUAAGAAAACUCAUUACAGUAUAGAUGUAAGAAUGAGUAAAAACCACCUAAUAGAGAUACAAAGGUGAAGAUGAAGAUACAAAAAAUCCAUCAAUCAAGAAACUAAUCUUAGGGGAUUAAGCUCACAAAAAAUAUCUAAGUGACCUAUGUGACCUAAGUGGAAAGUGCCAAGGUGAAUUAAGUGGAAACUAAACCAAGGAGAUAUCCAAGUGAUCAAAAAACGUGCCAAGUGACUUAGGAGUACACCUAAUGGGCCAGCUGCAUCUAAAUGGGCCUAGGGUGACAAGAACACCAAAAAAACCAAUCGAUCGAUGCGGUUGAGAAAAAUUCUCAAAUUUUGAUAGAGUGUCCCUCGAGGAAUAAGUAAUCCAACAAAAAAAAAACAAGGUGCGCAAUUCCGAGCUCGGAUAAGAGAGAAAUAACUAAAACAAGCCAGAGUGCUCCCGACUUGGAUGGGCUUUAGCAAACUUCAACUGAACUACAAUCUUUAUGAAGACCUUAACUUCUAACCUGUAGUAUGAUACAAACCAAGGAAUUGACCAUGACGACAUUUCAUAAUGGACCAAAUGCUCGCACUAAAUCUAACCAUAGGUGGACUCACGUGAUGUCCGAAAACCGAUUAACCCCAACAAGGGCCCCAUGGUCGUGACAUACAAAGGUUGGGUGCGGGCGAUACCCCCAAGAUACAUGCAAGUGUCAAGGGACAAAAUUGAGGGUCUACAGUAGGAAUUUGGAGUAUGAGCGGAAUAGGGAAAACAACCCUUGCUAGUGCUAUUUACAGAAAAAUCAGUGGUCACUUUGAAGUGUGUUGUUUUUUUGAAAAUGUUGAGGAGGAUUUGGAAAAUGAGGGUUUAAUAAGAUUACAACAAAAGUUUCUUGCUCAACUAUUGGAGAAACCAAAUCUAAAUAUUAAGGUACUCAUAUCUAUAAAGGAAAGGCUUCACUCGAAAAAGGUCCUUAUUGUUCUUGAUAAUGAGAAUGAUCCAAUAAUAUUGAAAUGCUUGGUUGGAAACCAGGAGUGGUUUGGUCGAGAUUUAAUUAUGAUGAAGCUCAAAGGUUCCUUUCACAUUAUUUGUUAAAACAUGAAAUUCUUAGAGAUGAUUUCAUGGAACUUUCAAGAGAAGUAAUAGGUUAUGCUCAAAGCCUCCCAUUGGCUCUAGAAGUUUUAGGCUCUUUUUUAUUUAGCAUGACCAAAGAAGAAUGGAGAAAUCAAUUAGACAAAUUGAAAAGUACCCCUAAUAUGAAAAUUCAAGAAGUACUUAAAGUAAGUUAUGAUGGGCUAGAUGACAAGGAGAAAAAUAUAUUUCUAGACAUUGCAUGUUUCUUUAAAGGAGAAGAUAAAAAUUAUGUAAUGGAAAUACUAGAUGGUUGCAGCUUCUUCUCACUUAGUGGAACACGAGCUCUCAUUGAUAGGUCACUCAUAACCAUUUUUUCAAAUAAGUUGAUGAUGCAUGACCUAAUAAAAGAAAUGGGUAGGGAAAUUGUUCGUCAACAAUUCCUUGAAGAGCCUGGUAAACACAAUAGAUUAUAGUUCUAUGAAGAUAUCUAUGAUGUAUUGAAAAAAAAUAUGGGAAGAGCAAAAAAUAUAAAAUUUAUUUUUUGUAAACAAAUUAAGAUUAGAAAUCAAGAAUUAUUUUGAUUUAAAUAGUUAUGUGUUGAUAAAUUUUAAUCGAAAGAUACUCUUUGGAUAGAUACCCAUAUUUGCAUAGAUACCCUUUGAGAUCACUACCUAAUGAUUUUAAUCCAAAGAAUCUUGUUGAUCUUUUCAUAUCUUAUAGUCACAUUAAAAAACUUUGGAAAGAAAUAAAUGUAUGAUUAUGAUGUAUUCACAUUAUUUUCUUUAGAGACAUGUAACCUAAGUAACCUAACCCUCACACUCAUUUCUAGUUUGUGAACUUGCUUUGUUGUUUAAGGAGACACAUGAUUUGCUCUCUUAUUUUGUUUUUACUUUUAAAUAUAAAUAAAAUAAAUUGUAACCCCAAAACUCAAUUAAAAAAUUAGUUUUGAAAGACAAAUUUUGUUACCGUCCAAGUCUUGCUAUCGAGUGGGAUGCAUGAAAAAAAUAUUGGUUCCCAUGCAUUCCCUAUUCAAACCAAACACUUUGCCUAAAUUUUCUUUUGGGUGUAUUUAUAAGUUUUCCUUAUUUUUCUAUUUGAAUCAUAUUUUGUAAAAGAAUUUCCUAUUAUUAAAAAAAAAAAAAAAAGUGCCAUAGUGAUGUUUUAUUUGCAAAAAUAUGUUCAUCCCUUUAUAAAAUAUUCCUAUGUUGAUAUGUACUUAUAAAAUUAGAUUUCAUUGUACGAUAAGGAAAAUUGUUAAAAAUAUUAUAUAAAUAUUAUAAAUUAGGAGGGAAACGGAGAUGAUCAUAUAAAACUCAUACCGAGUAGGUAUACACAUGAAAAUAAGACACUAAGUCGAGUGAAGGCUCAUGAUUCAAGGUGUAGGCUCAUGGUUCAAGGCUCAUGGGCCUGGGACCAUAAACCAAAGCACAAGUUACAGUAACUGCCGAAGCAGUCGAUUAAAUUCCUAAUUUUAAACACUACAUAAGGGAACAAGAAAUUCAGCUAGAAGGGAACUCUGCCAUUUCCUUGGGGAGACUAAAUCUCUGACUUUCAACAACCCAUUGUAAAUAAUCAUCCUGGAAUAUGAGAAAGCAAGAUAAAGCAUUCAGCCAAAAAACUGCAACAC